UUCAGAUCUCAGUUCCAUUGUCACCACCUCAAGAGAAGCCUUCCUUGAUCACCUCACCAAAGCAGCACUCCCCAAUCCAGUUUUGGGCCAUUAUGAAUAGAGCUGCUCUGCACAUUCUUGUACAAGUCUUUCUAUGCACAAAAGUUUUCAUUUCUCUUGAGAAAACACCAAGGAGUGGAACUGCUGAUUUAUAGGGCAUACCUUGGAGAUAUUUUGGGUUCAGUUCUAGACCACCACAAUAAAGCAAAUAUUGUAAUAAAGUGAGUCACGUGCAUUUUUGAAGUUUCCCAGUGCAUAUAAAAGUUAUAUUUACACUAUACUAUAGUUUACUAAGUGUGUGAUAGCAUUAUGUCUAAAAAAUGUACAUACCUUAAUUGAAAUACUUUAAUUUAAAAAUACUUUAUUGCUAAAAAUUGCUAACCAUCAUCUGAGCCUUCAACAAGUCAUAGUAGUAACAUCGAAGAUCACUGAUCAAAGAUCCCCCUAACAAAUAUAGUAAUAAUGAAAAGUUUGAAAUAUUGGGAGAAUCGCCGAAAUGUGACACAGAGACAUGAAGUGAGCAAAUGCUGUUGGAAAAAUGGUACCAAUAGACUUGUUCGACACAGGGUUGCCAAGGACCUUCAAUUUGUUAAAAACUCAGUAUCUGUGAAGCACAAUAAAGCCAAGUGCAAUAAAAUGAGAUAUGCCUUACAAACAAUGAUGCACAGACAUGUAUCCACUCAUGUGUCUGAUUUGUAAUGUGUCAACUUGGUUGGGCUAAACUACAUUUCCCAGAAUUUCCUCUCUUGUAUAUUUCAUUUAGUGUGGGCCACAAGGGAGAUUUGGAGGACAGAAGGAAAGCAGCAGGCAUUGUAUAGUUCAUACAUCUUGUUGGUGAUCUGCUGACUAACCUCCUUAGAGGUAAAGCAACAGAUGGACCUGCAACUUCUCUACCUUCCCCUGGAUCCUCCUUCAGCUUCUCCAACUCCUGGGCCGGUUACACAUAUUUUGCUCUGUGACAAAGGGCUCUGGCUUCUGCAGGAUGCCCAUAUCAGCAAGAAUGGAAGCAGUGAAAACUAACAUGGGUUCCAUUCCAUCCCUGUGGUGUGCUAGCUCUUGCUUGUGGGUCCAGUCUGCUUCUGAUCUCCCCAUUUACCUCCAUCUUCCCUUACACAUUGCCUGCCUGAGUUUCUGCAAAAGAGUUUCCCUAGAAUUAGAAUCGCUAGGUCAAAGGGUAUGCCUAUUUAAAAUUUUGACGUACUGACAAAUUGCCCUUCAAAAGAU